GAAAGCAUCUAAGCGUGAAGCCCCCCUCAAGAUGAGAUUUCCCAUUUCUUCGGAAAGUAAGAUCCCUGAAAGAUGAUCAGGUAGAUAGGUUUGGAGUGGAAGUGUAGCGAUACAUGGAGCGGACAAAUACUAAUCGAUCGAGGACUUAACCAAAA
rnacentral:rRNA from 1 species